rnacentral:rRNA from 1 species
GAAUAUUGGACAAUGGGCGAAAGCCUGAUCCAGCAACGCCGCGUGGAGGAAGAAGGUCUUUGGAUCGUAAACUCCUGUCAGAUGGGGCGAAAGGGCGUCGGCGAAUAACCGGCGUCUUUGACGGUACCAUCAGAGGAAGCCCCGGCUAACUCCGUCCCAGCAGCCGCGGUAAUACGGAGGGGGCUAGCGUUAUUCGGAAUUAUUGGGCGUAAAGCGCGCGUAGGCGGCUUGGUAAGUCAUGGGUGAAAUCCCUCGGCUCAACCGAGGAAUUGCCUUUGAAACUACCUCGCUUGAGGCCGGGAGGGGGUAGCGGAAUUCCCAGUGCAGCGGUGAAAUGCGUAGAUAUUGGGAGGAACACCGGUGGCGAAGGCGGCUACCUGGACCGGUUCUGACGCUGAUGCGCGAAAGCGUGGGGAGCAAACAGG